rnacentral:rRNA from 1 species
GAUGAACGCUGGCGGUGUGCCUAAUACAUGCAAGUCGAGCGAACGGACGAGAAGCUUGCUUCUCUGAUGUUAGCGGCGGACGGGUGAGUAACACGUGGAUAACCUACCUAUAAGACUGGGAUAACUUCGGGAAACCGGAGCUAAUACCGGAUAAUAUUUUGAACCGCAUGGUUCAAAAGUGAAAGACGGUCUUGCUGUCACUUAUAGAUGGAUCCGCGCUGCAUUAGCUAGUUGGUAAGGUAACGGCUUACCAAGGCAACGAUGCAUAGCCGACCUGAGAGGGUGAUCGGCCACACUGGUACUGAGACACGGUCCAGACUCCUACGGGAGGCAGCAGUAGGGAAUCUUCCGCAAUGGGCGAAAGCCUGACGGAGCAACGCCGCGUGAGUGAUGAAGGUCUUCGGAUCGUAAAACUCUGUUAUUAGGGAAGAACAUAUGUGUAAGUAACUGUGCACAUCUUGACGGUACCUAAUCAGAAAGCCACGGCUAACUACGUGCCAGCAGCCGCGGUAAUACGUAGGUGGCAAGCGUUAUCCGGAAUUAUUGGGCGUAAAGCGCGCGUAGGCGGUUUUUUAAGUCUGAUGUGAAAGCCCACGGCUCAACCGUGGAGGGUCAUUGGAAACUGGAAAACUUGAGUGCAGAAGAGGAAAGUGGAAUUCCGUGUGUAGCGGUGAAAUGCGCAGAGAUAUGGAGGAACACCAGUGGCGAAGGCGACUUUCUGGUCUGUAACUGACGCUGAUGUGCGAAAGCGUGGGGAUCAAACAGGAUUAGAUACCCUGGUAGUCCACGCCGUAAACGAUGAGUGCUAAGUGUUAGGGGGUUUCCGCCCCUUAGUGCUGCAGCUAACGCAUUAAGCACUCCGCCUGGGGAGUACGACCGCAAGGUUGAAACUCAAAGGAAUUGACGGGGACCCGCACAAGCGGUGGAGCAUGUGGUUUAAUUCGAAGCAACGCGAAGAACCUUACCAAAUCUUGACAUCCUUUGACAACUCUAGAGAUAGAGCUUUCCCCUUCGGGGGACAAAGUGACAGGUGGUGCAUGGUUGUCGUCAGCUCGUGUCGUGAGAUGUUGGGUUAAGUCCCGCAAUGAGCGCAACCCUUAAGCUUAGUUGCCAUCAUUAAGUUGGGCACUCUAAGUUGACUGCCGGUGACAAACCGGAGGAAGGUGGGGAUGACGUCAAAUCAUCAUGCCCCUUAUGAUUUGGGCUACACACGUGCUACAAUGGACAAUACAAAGGGCAGCGAAACCGCGAGGUCAAGCAAAUCCCAUAAAGUUGUUCUCAGUUCGGAUUGUAGUCUGCAACUCGACUACAUGAAGCUGGAAUCGCUAGUAAUCGUAGAUCAGCAUGCUACGGUGAAUACGUUCCCGGGUCU